UGGAAUCUGAAGGUAAACGGUUGAAACAAACUGGCCAACUCGUCGACCCACGCGGCUGCCGUCGAUUCGGCAGCUUUCACACCAUGAGACCACACAGUGGGACGACCUGGGAAAGGAGUGAAACCUGAGAGACGCACCGGCUGUGGAGGCGAUCUGACACAGAUUAUGGAGCAGUAACUACUCACACCUACGAAAACACAAGCGAGGACCUGACAGGAAACCAGAGGGGGGAGGUGGGGAUUAUCUCUUUAGGAAAUCAUAACUAAUAUCUCACCGUAAUCUCUCACAUUCAGGACAGUUGUCAAAAUUCUCCUUCAUAUUUAUGUCAUAAAUAGCACAGUUGUCUCCGGUGUUCUAAGACUUCCUGAUCUACAAGGCUUGGAAGCCGCUGCUCCUCAUUGACAGAUUUGCUCUAAAAAAACAUUGAUGAAGACAUGAUGAAACGACCCCACGCCGAUCAGGUGGUCGGGUUCAUGUCAGGUACAAAGCGACUUGGUGGAAGUGGUGCUGAUGAAGGCGACCAAGUCACUGGACCUCCACCUUUCAAAAGUCCAGGGUCACCUGGACUCACCGGGUCGGCCCGGUUCAUGGAAGCAGCAGGUGCUCCUGGCAGUUCUUCCUGUGCCUUGAAGGAGGUUUAUCGCUAAAUCCCUGAACAGAGAGGGACACCAGAUAUACAAGAUGGUGCUCCGGAAUGACGUGCUGAAAGCCAAGAAGGUGUGCGAGUGUGUGUGUGCCUGUGUGUGUAUUUAAGUCUCUUAGCUUGCAAUAACGCUAUAAAGAAGUACCUCCGUUUUUAUGAGACUUUGGGAUUGUGCGUGAAUGUGUGUCCACAUAAUAACAAAAACAGACCGUCUUUAACGUGUCCUUCAUGCAGACAUCUGGUCAAAUGUCAAACCAUACCUUCACUCCAUGUGUUCUUGCGUUUGUCUUCACCCGCUUCUUCAUCUUCAGGUGGAGUCGUGCAGCCGGGGCUGCGUGACGUGUGUGAUGUUUAGCCUGCAGAGUGCCAAUGUGUGUGCGUCGCAGCCCGUCAAUCAGGCUUCCACCAGAGUUGUGUGUUCGCCACCAGGGGAUUGUGGACAAAAGGAUCAGUGUUCAGGUGUAAUUGUGUAAUUUGCCUCAUUUGCACCUUGACUUUAGAGCGCACGUCCUCCUGCACGCUGAGGGACGAUACGAACCUUCAUGUCUGGGAAAACCAUUCAAAGCUUAUUGUAGAAUAAUAAUAAUACAAAACAUCUGUUGGAAAAAGGUUUUCUCUUUCUGCUGCGCUGAAAAAACGAUCCAACUCGACAGGUCAUCCAAGUCUAAUGGUUUUUAAAAGAUGAUCCCUAAAGACCCACUGGGAACCAGCUGAAUGAUGUCACACUUCCGUCCAUCGCUGGAUGUGUUCUCGUGCACCGCCGACUGUGAGCCCGUUUACCCGACGACUGCCUUUUACCUUCCUGGUUCUGUUUGGUCGUUGCCAGGAAACCAACAACACAAUACGUGGGGGGAAAGCGGGCCUACGCUCAUGGUGCAGCUGCCCGUAUUUAUGCGAAUGCAAAGAGGAAGCAGGUCAUGUUUGGGACAGUCAUGCACACAUUGGCUUAAAGCCACAACGCACCUGUAUUUGUUGGACCCGUUGCUCUCCUCUCCCGCCCAGCAUACGGUGUUUUGGGGUAUUAAACACCAAGACAAGCUCACACUGUUGCUUAGUCAUGUGGAUGAAUGGAAUCUGUGUUGACCCCCCCAAAAAAAAGGAUCCAUUCUUUUUUUUUUCCAGCCAGAUCCCCGGUGAAAGAACUCCUGCCCCUCUGCGCGGACAAGUGAGACGGUUUGGGCUCCGAUUCACGCCGCAAACGGCGCACACAGCGACAGCGACGGAGCACCGGCCGGCACCGGCUUCUCGAAGCGUUGGCGUUAUACAGGGAGCAGGCGUGUUCCUCUGCUGGCUGAAAGGAAUCCCUUCUUUGGAAGAGUGCGUCGAGUGUAACGGUCCCCACCGAGCCCGACAGGUGCUCAGCUGCUGAUGAAGUGAAUUUCAUUUGAAACACAUAAUAAAUUCACCGUUUAAAGGUUAUAUUCUCACUCCA
ensembl:lncRNA